rnacentral:lncRNA from 1 species
GCCGCCCCGCCCCUGCGGGAGCCCCGUGCGCGGCACGCCGCGGCAGCCUUCGCCCUGGAUGCUGCUGCCGCGGCUGCCGUGGGACUGUCUCGGGAGCGAGCCCUGGACUAUUACGGGCUGUACGACGACCGCGGGCGCCCGUACAGCUACCAGGCCGUGUGCGAGGAGGACCUGAUGCCGGAGGAUGAUCAGAGAGCCACUCGAAAUCUCUUCAUCGGGAACCUGGACCACAGUGUAUCUGAAGUGGAGCUUCGACGGGCCUUCGAGAAGUAUGGCAUCAUUGAGGAGGUGGUCAUCAAGAGGCCUGCCCGCGGCCAAGGUGGUGCCUAUGCCUUCCUUAAGUUUCAGAACCUGGACAUGGCACACAGGGCCA